CAAAAUGUGUUUUCGUGUAAUUGUAUGUUUUAUACCCAUUAUGGCUUAAAUAAGUGUGAAACUAUUUACUAAAAGCUUGCAUUCCUCAAUGACAAUUACAUUAGAUACUAGUAAUUAAAUUCUUCCAAAAAAGUUUAAGAACGAUUCCUAAUAAUUUUGGGAAAUACUCCUCCCUCUCAAUUUUAUAGCAUGCAAAGACUAAAACAAUGUCUUAUAUAUGCUUACCAUGUAAAAGCAAGAGAGAGAGGAAAUAGUUUUCAUCGGACC
rnacentral:lncRNA from 1 species